GUUGUUGGAAACCUGAGACGGUCUCAGUGUCUCCCGAAGAAAAUGGGAGACGCUGAGACCGUCUCGAGACGAACCGUCUUCUAGUGUGGACAAGGCUUUAGAGUGGCAAACGAAAUUCGUCAUUCGAUUGCUGCACCAGACCUCAGCUGUUUUGGAGCAGCAGUAGCAGAUUUCGGAGGCUUUUGGAAGAACUCUGGUGCGUGAGGAAUGCUCGGCGUCAGCUAAAGCCGGUUUCUUGGAUGCGGAAGACUCACGAGAAGGAUCGGUAACCCAAAAGUAAAUUAAAGAAGACAACAAAUGAAAAUAACACAAUGCAAAAGAGCACAGUCGAGGGCAGGUUGCCUUCUGGAUGCCAAUUCAUCAAGCGUUCCUAACGACACAUUUGGCUGAACCGACGGCACCAACUGGAAAACGUCUGUUCAUCAAUUGGUGAUUGUACCACUGAUAAGCUGAUAUAACUCCCCCUGCGGAGGAGAUAAUUUUUCAUCGCUUAGAUCUCCUGGCGCCAACUAGCUCAUCAUUCCCUCAGCUUCGUUUCCCGAUCAUGUAAUAAUACCAGAUUAAGAUUUUUUUGAAAGUCUAUAUAUUUUUCAACGUGCCAUUAGAACACGUGAAGUAAUUUUUGAAUGCUAGCGUCAUCACUUCCUGUGUAUUAAUCACUUACUAAGCAGUUAAGACACAAACCUUUUGUUGAUGGAAAUGUGGUGCAGAGUUAUAUCAGUUUAUCAGUGAUUGUACCUUCUUCAGAAGUCCUAUCUACCAGAUCUGAAUUUUCGUCAUACCUCCAGCGAAUUUCCGGAAGGGUGAAAAACCGUUGGGAAACCGGAACAACUGGAUCAGAAUCUGGAGUAAUCGCAACAUUUUUCUAACGGGAGCUCCGCCGGAUAUCACUAUGCUAGAUGGUCUAAAUUAUGUGAGGGCACGUGAAGUUUCUAAAAAGUGCCAAUCGCCGUAUGUUUUUGACAUGACGAAAAUUCGACUGUUCUGCAAAUCAAUCGUAGCCACAGAUACUAUCCACUGAAAAGUCAAUUCCAGUGACGAUUGCAGCCUCGUUUUUCUUCCGGGUGCAUCGUGCAGGUUAGUUUUGAAAGAAAAUUGAAAGUUUCCUAAAUCCCGUUCUUUAUGAAACUAACAGCAUUCUGUUAUACCUGACCGUAUUAAUUGAAAAUUGCUCCGGGAAAAAUUGAAUUUUUCGAAAA